ACACCCCAGUCGUGAAACCCUCUUCCAGCAGCUCCAGAAGCACGGUGUGCCUGACAUGAUCCAGGCACACUGGGUGCCCACGUCCUUCCUCUCAACACCCACCAAGCCAGCACCUGGACCCUUGAGUUUUGCUGACACCAUUGAGAAAAUUUCAACCUACUGAAAAAUUAGAAGAGGAAUACAAUGAGCACCUAUGAACGUUUCACCUAGAUUCGUCAACCAUUGACAUUUUGCCACAUUUGCUUUCUUUCUCUCUCUCUUACAGGAAGUUAGUUGCAAGUUUGCUGACGAUUUCCUCUGACCAGAUGAGCUAUUAUCUCACAAAAGCAAGGACGUUCUCCUCUAUUAUCACUAUUAUCACACUCAAUAAAUUUAAAUUGAUGCAA